rnacentral:piRNA from 1 species
UGACAAAUGAAUAACAGUUCUAAUGUCAGG